UUUUCUUUUUUAUUUUUUUUUACAAAAUUGUCUUGGUAGUGUUACAAAAAAUUAUUCCUGGGUAGAAAUUAAAACCCCUUCUUGAGAAGAUAGGGAAACAAUUUCAAUCUAUGAUGUCAUCAAGUGAGCAAAAAAGGGAAGUAGGAGGAAGAGAAGGAGAAGGAUCAUCAUCAAUGACCUUAACACAAUCCGAUCAUCAUCAUCAGCUAUCACCACCUCCUCAAUUGAGUCGUUACGAGUCUCAGAAACGCCGUGAUUGGAAUACUUUUGGUCAAUACUUGAAGAAUCACAAACCCCCGGUACCUUUACCUCAGUGCAACUAUAAUCACGUGUUAGAUUUUCUUCGAUACCUAGAUCAAUUUGGAAAAACUAAGGUACAUUUAAAUGGAUGUGUAUUUUUUGGACAAGUGGAACAAGUUGGACCAUGUACAUGUCCACUUAGACAAGCAUGGGGAAGUUUAGAUGCACUAAUUGGAAGGCUUAGAGCUGCUUAUGAAGAAAAUGGAG
rnacentral:misc_RNA from 1 species